AAUUGCAAAUUAUUUCUGCUUAAAUAAGAAGCUUGAGCUUGAGUCAGUGAAGACUAGUUUCUAAGGAAAAACUUACGUCUUACAUAAUUUGCGGAAAGUGCAUGCAAACUCUUAUUGAGUAACAACAACGAAGAGCUUCUUUUCGCAUGAAUUUCUUAUGUGCGCGUUGCGCCUGCGCAGAAUUAUCAACUCAAAAGUUUUUUCAAUUGAGUGCUUAAUAAGUAUAAACAAAAAAUACCAACUUUACUGAGAAGUAGAAUCAGGAGCUGGCUGGAGUUACUGGUUUUGAUUCCGGCUUGAAGGCAAAGAAGAUAAGAGGCCAAAAGCCUCAGUAACAAACAGGUUUUCCCUAUUAAGUUGAAGGGCUCGGAACAAGUCGAUAUGACCCUUCCCAUUGUCCAAAGACAAAGGCGAGUAGGAUCUGCGCGGUGGAGUUUCAUGGACAAGCCAAGUGAGGAAUUGGAAGUCGAAAUAAUAUUCGAUUAAUAUAAAAAAUAAACAUACCCAAGCUUUGUACAUAAUAUAAUUCAAUUUU